UUCAUUAUGUAGCAUAUCACGCUUAGCAUCAUAAAAUUUUUAAACGUUUUAUAUUGGCUAUUAAAGAUCAAACUGAUCAUUACGCGUUUUGGAUUUUAUUGAUAUUGAAUCAUUUCGAUAUUGCGAAAUUUGUUUUUUGUUAAUAACGACGUCGAUAUUACCAAACAAGACUAGGGUUUAAAGCUUUUAAAAACGGUGAGAAAUGAUAAAAAAAUAGUAGGAUGAAACUCAUUGUGAAAAGGAGAAGAAUAUAAUAAAAUCUGAUGUCGAGGGAAGUUAUUUAAGGGUGAAAAACAGUUUAUAAUAAUUUGCGGUAAAACUGUUAUAUUUACGAUUCUUUCAGAUAACCUCAAAAUUUGUGUACAAAUUCAAAGAUCCCAGUUUUACGUUUCGUAUUGUUAUUUCUUGAAAAAAUUUGUUUUUUGUUACGAAAUUCCGUGGAAACUUUGUAUUUGUACUUUGGAGUAAAAAAUAUACCGGGUGGGCAACUAUUCGCUCAGAGUGUGACUGUAGCGUCACAGUGAAUAUGAACGGGAGGCUGUCAGAGCAUGUUUUAAACAGAAAAUUUUGGAAUAUAAGUAUAAUAAAUAGUAAUAAAUUAGUCGUCAAGAAUAAAUGUGACAAUUUAAUACUUACUACAAUUUUAUAAUUAUCUUGAACAAGCCAAAAACACAAUUGAACCAAAGUCAUGGAUAUUAUUAUAAAAACAGGAUUUCAGUCUAUCAGCCAUCAAAUAAAAUUUCAACCAGAAACUAUAACCAAGGGUAAAAAUCUUGUUCUUGCUGGACAUGUGAAAGAAGUUGAGGAACAUCGAUGAAAUUUUGACAGCUUUUGAAUAAAAAUUUCUGAUAAUUUAGAUACUAGUAACAAAGAAGAUGAAAGUACAUCUCAAAAACGAAGCUUUACUGGAAAUGAUCUUGCAAGUAUUUUAAUAUAGGUAAUAAUUUAUUUUCUAUGAUGUAUAAUGGUGUAAAAGUCCAUACAGUAUUUUUAUAAUUAGUUACUGGAAAAGCAAUAUUUAUUAAGUGAGUAAAAACUAAAAAGUGUUAUUGUGUGUUACAAUAAUGUCUAUUUGAAAGAAUUUUAUUAUUCGUUACUAAUUUGUUAGUUAUAAACAAGUUUAAAAGAAUAUAACUGUUUAUUACAAUAAGUUUAAUUAUUAAUUUUAUGAAAAGCUUACAAUAAAUUUAAAAUUUCUUACAAAUUUUCGUUUGUAUUAUCACAAGUACUCAAUGAACAAUUUUCAUGAGUAAUUAAAUAUUUUUCAUCCCUCAUUUUCAGGAUCUUUUUUAUCAGAAAUUAUUGGAGGCUGUAAAUUUACCAAAACACAACAAAUAUGCAAAAUGUCAUCAAUGCAGUGGAACAAAUGUUGUGGAAUUUUAUGCAAUAUAUGAUAAGUCCUUCACCGCUGCAUAAUUCUUUCAACAUGAAUCCUAACCCUUGUAACACUGUAUGUCUGUUGAGUUUCUUCACUUGAAAAUUCACUUUUCUUCUCUAGAAAAGGUGGCAUAACCAUUUGCACUUUCUUGCCACUUGCCCCAAUCACUGUUCUAAUUUCUGGAAAACCUUUGUCAGCCAAAACAAUGUCACCAUCUUCUAUAAAUCCAUCAACCCUGACUCUAUUGUAAGCUGAGAAUUUAAUUUCCGUCCUCCAGCUACGUCAGAUCUUAAGGAUAUAAAACCUCCAGGAGUUUUGCCAAUUAGAACUUUGUAGAAAUAUUGUUGGAAUGUAGCUAGGACUCAACUCCUCAUCUGAUUUUUUACCUCCAAUAAAAUGAUCACUACAAAUAUAAUCAUAUGACUUGGGAACCCACGGUGAUCCAUCAACGCUAAAAAUUAUAUUUUUUAUUAAUUUCAUCACAGUAUUAAUUAAACUGUUUGCAAAAUAAAAUUUUUUCACUGUAAUUCAUUUUUCUUUUGAUCAUUACAUUUUUAUAAUAUUAAAAUUUAUUCAUUUAUAAA